UGGGGAAUAUUGGACAAUGGGGGAAACCCUGAUCCAGCAAUGCCGCGUGAGUGAUGAAGGCCUUCGGGUCGUAAAGCUCUUUUGGCAGGGAAGAUAAUGACGCUACCUGCAGAAUAAGCACCGGCUAACUCUGUGCCAGCAGCCGCGGUAAUACAGAGGGUGCUAGCGUUGUUCGGAAUUACUGGGCGUAAAGCGCGCGUAGGCGGCUUUAUAAGUCAGAUGUUAAAGUCCUGGGCUUAACCUGGGGUAUGCGUUUGAUACUGUAGAGCUAGAGCACGAUAGAGGAGAGUGGAAUUUUUAGUGGAGAGGUGGAAUUCUCAGAUAUUAAAAGGAACACCAGAGGCGAAGGCGACUCUCUGGGUCGUUGCUGACGCUAAAGCGCGAAAGCGUGGGGAGCAAACA
rnacentral:rRNA from 1 species